UGUAAUACCCAGCACUGACUCUUGGAGGAGGGACCGCAUACCUGGGACUGUUUUGCAAAUUGCACAACCACUGCCUGAGACAUAAAUAUGUCCCCAUCCCUACCUGUCUCACACUGGCCUCAGACGUCUCAAGGCUGAAGGUCUACAAGAGAAACAAUGAUCUCCCCAUCCCAGUUGCUCUGCCUCCUGGUGCUCUGGGCCCAAGGGUCCUGGGCAGCCAUUUUGCUGACCCAGUCUCCAGCUUCCCUGUCUGUUGCUCCAGGAGAAAGAGUCCCCAUCACCUGCAGAGCCAGUCAGGGUAUUAACAAGUGGUUAGCCUGGUACCAGCAGCUGCCAGGACAGUCUCUCAAACUCCUGAUCUAUGGUGCUUCCAACCUGCACUCUGAGGUCCCUGCCCGCUUCAGUGGCAGUGGGUCUGGGAUGGAUUAUACUCUCACGAUCAGCAGUGUGGAGGCUGAAGAUGUUGGACAUUACUACUGCCAGCAUUAUUAUGAGUACCCUAACCCACAGUUGGGCAGGCCUGAACAAAAACCUUCCCAGGCUGGUGAGCUCUUUAGCUCCGGUGACCAGCUGCUUCCUCCCGAGCCCCUGAGUCAGAGACACCACAGAGACAGAGGCCAGGGAAGGGCUGGGCCUAACAGCCCAGCUCUCCCAGCCACAGAUCCCAGUCUCUCACAUCCUAGAAAGGGCUAG